CCUUAAAAUAAGUUUAACAACUUGGGUCACUCCUUUAAAUCUGUGGCGUUUAUCAGAUGGGGUCUCUGCCGCGUGGAACUGGGGCUUUUGCGUACUGGGCGAUUCGAAUUCGCGUGAUAACAUGAAUGAACUUUCAUACCUGGGUUCGAAUCGCCCAAUCCGCAUUCGCGCGAAGUGCGCCCCUUCCGCGGGGCUUCCGAACUGAGUGCGUACUGGCUCCUCUUUUUGGCGCGUGUUGGCGAGUGCACUUAAUAAGUGCAUUGGCGAUAUCCGGAUUGGGGCUCUGUUCGAUCUCAGUGCGAACGGGUCUGGUGUGAAUUCCCAGUCCUGAACUCCGUCGCAAGACUCCCAGAUUCCAACUCUCCCAUGAUGCCCUGUUGCAAUUUGCCCCACUUUUCCUUCCGGUGGGUCUUUCCUCUUGCCGGUUCCAGGGAAGCCGGGGGAGGAGCGCUCUUGGUGCAGAGGGAAGCAUGCUGGGGAUGACAUUUCUGGACACUGCAGCAUCUGAAGUUGGGACCCCCGCUUUUUGCUGGACUUGCUUGGGGGAAUAUCUUGCCCUGUCUAUCCUCAGUGUGUUCUUCCGAACUUCCCUGGCACCAACUUGUACAAAAGCCCAGGAGACAAGCAAUCUUUCAAUAAAAGAUUUUAAUUAUGA